rnacentral:rRNA from 1 species
CCUACGGGGGGCAGCAGUGAGGAAUAUUGGUCAAUGGGCGUAAGCCUGAACCAGCCAAGUCGCGUGAGGGAUGAAGGUUCUAUGGAUAGUAAACCUCUUUUAUAAGGGAAUAAAGUGUGGGACGUGUCCUGUUUUGUAUGUACCUUAUGAAUAAGGAUCGGCUAACUCCGUGCCAGCAGCCGCGGUAAUACGGAGGAUCCGAGCGUUAUCCGGAUUUAUUGGGUUUAAAGGGUGCGUAGGCGGCCUUUUAAGUAAGCGGUGAAAGUCUGUGGCUCAACCAUAGAAUUGCCGUUGAAACUGGGAGGCUUGAGUAUGUUUGAGGCAGGCGGAAUGCGUGGUGUAGCGGUGAAAUGCUUAGAUAUCACGCAGAACCCCGAUUGCGAAGGCAGCCUGCCAAGCCAUGACUGACGCUGAUGCACGAAAGCGUGGGGAUCAAACAGGAUUAGAUACCCGAGUAGUC